CGGGGCAUAGCUCAGUCUGGUAGAGCGCUUGCUUUGGGAGCAAGAUGUCGUAGGUUCGAAUCCUGCUGCCCCGACCA
rnacentral:tRNA from 1 species